AAAAAAAAAAAAAAAAAAAAGCUCCUCAUUCCUUCUUCCACCGCCAUACUGUAUUUUAUAGUAACUCUCAUUUUUAUUCCUCCCUUUUACUCCCGCUCGUGGAAGGUUUUCCUGGAGAAUGAAGUGCGGUUUGGUUUCCUUGUCAACGGAAGAUGAAGUGAACAACUGAACAUCUCCCCAGUGCAGAUGAUGCAAUGCUCCAUCAGAAUCUGGAGCUGAAUCCUCUGUGUGUUAAGUACUUACAGAAUUUCUGAGCAGAAGACCGAAGAUGACUGUUUCCUGAUGAAAAGUUAGGUAAUCUGUGGCACUGUCAAUGUAGUCAUCCAGAUAUAUAGAUUUUAAACUAGUUUGUAGCUUCCUUAAGCACACCUACUAACUGGCAGAAGAAAACUAAAUGCUAUUUU
rnacentral:lncRNA from 1 species